rnacentral:rRNA from 1 species
AGAGUUUGAUCCUGGCUCAGAGUGAACGCUGGCGGCGUGCUUAACACAUGCAAGUCGAACGAUGAUUGGAAGCUUGCUUUCAUGAUUAGUGGCGCACGGGUGAGUAAUAUAUAGAUAACGUGCCUCUUAGUCUGGGAUAGCCAUUGGAAACGAUGAUUAAUACCGGAUACUCCUUCUAACUCUAAUGUUAGUCGGGAAAG